rnacentral:lncRNA from 1 species
CACAGAGCGGGCUGACAGGCUGUGUGAAGGCAAAGCAUCUGGAAGGCUGGCUGGACCAGCAUGGUAGAGUUGAGCUUAGUUCGGUGUGUAUGUGUUGCGCUCUUUAACCGAGUUGUAAAAGCAAUCAGAGCAGAAACUGGCUACUCUUUAGUUGACUGAUGUACCUGGCAAGCAGGAUGAGAUGGUGACAGGGGUCCCAGCAGGAUCAAACAGCCAGGGAAUGACCAGUUGUCAUGACGUUGGCCUGUGGAAGUGAUACUUCCUAGUCGUUGAGUUAGCAGCGGCCGCUGUAGACGUGGGCUAGGAAAGGACGGAUGACGGAUCCAAUCUAACACACAACGAAGAUACUACAACGUAUCCAAUUUACCACCAGUGACAUUCUUCCGAGGACAGGAAGAUCUCUGUUGGCCAACACGGCCAGCAUCUAUGCGCAGCUCAGAGAUCAGACGGUGACAGGGAUCUCAGCAGGGUCAGGUAGCCAGGGAAGUCUAUGACAGAAGAUGAUAAAUAUACCCGCUGCAGUUUGGUCCACUCCAUACGACGACCGUUACAGAACCACCCACCAACGAAGGACCAAGCAGCGGAGGAAGGAGCAGCAGGGUAAAGAGGACUGGACAUGGGAGGACAUCCUGGACGGCAAGGGAUCCUACACUUGGGAAGAGAUCCUGGCCGGAAGGGAUCGCCUCCCAUGGGAACAGGUGGAGGCACUCAGAAGAGCGGAGGCAGCAGGAGAAAAGGACCAACGACGAAGGUAUGAGGGAACACGGCUGGCAAGGAAGCCUGAAAGGCAGCCCCAAAAACAUUUUGGGGGGGGGCACACGGGUAGUUUGGCUGGGCCAAGGGUUAGUCCUGAGCCAACUCCCCGUGCUUAUUAUGGGGAGCGAUGGAUCAAGCAAGCACCAUGUUAUGCGGAGAUACACACGGUAUCGCCAGUGCGCAGCUACAGUCCGGUGCGCUUGAUGAAAGCUCCUCACAGGGGUCAUGUUAGAGCCAGCAUCGAGCCAGGACCGGUGAUGCAAGUAGCAAGCAUCAGACCGCCGGUGAGGGUUCAUGGCCCAGUGUAUCCUGUUCCUGCUCCGCGCACUGGCCCUGAGGUGCGUGUUACUAGGCUGGUGCCUCCUAAACCAGCCCCACGCAUCAGGCCUCUAGGGCGCCUGCCCAGUCCAGUACGUCAUGUUCCUGCUCCUCGCACUAGCCCUGAGGUGCAUGUCCAUAGUCUGGCGCCUCCAAAGCCAGCCCCACGCACCAGACCUUUAGUGCGCCUGCCCAGUCCAGUACGUCCUGUUCCUGCUCCUCGCACUAGCCUUGAGGUGCGUGUCACUAGUCUGGCGCCUCCAAAGCCCCACGCAUCAGGCCUUCAGUGCGCAGUCCCCGUCCAGAGCUUCCGGCGACAG